GCAUUGAACUGUGUCCACUAACGGUCUGCUGACAAUGACACGGUAUUUGGAGGAUCUGAAAUUAUGAGAUUUUUUUUGUUUAAUUGUUGGGCGGGUUGAGAAGACCAAACGUGGGAUGUGAGAAAUGGUGUCAAUUGGAGGGACUGAACUACCAAAGAUGGAGAAGAUGCCAAUGGCAAGUGCACGUGAGGAGAAUAUUCUUGUUUUGGUGAGGUUGAGACCUUUGAAUGAGAAGGAGAUUGCGGCAAAUGAAGUUGCAGACUGGGAAUGCAUCAAUGACACCACCAUAUUGUAUCGGAAUACCCUUCGUGAAGGCUCCACAUUUCCAUCUGCCUAUACUUUUGACAGAGUAUUUCGGGGUGACUACUCUACGAGGCAAGUGUAUGAGGAAGGAGCCAAGGAAGUUGCACUUUCAGUUGUCAGUGGUAUUAACUCAAGUAUUUUUGCGUAUGGGCAGACAAGCAGUGGAAAGACAUACACCAUG
rnacentral:misc_RNA from 1 species